rnacentral:snoRNA from 1 species
ACCCUCUGGUUCCCUUUCUCAUUGGAUCUGAACACUGGUCUGGUUGGUUGUAAAAGGAGGAAAAGGAACUCUGAGGCUGACCUCACGGUUGUUUAGCUUCAAACUCGU